CUGGGUACCAUUGCAUCACCCGCUUGGGCCGUGCUCGCCGUCGCCAUCAGGUGACGCCGCGAAGCCGCCGUCCUUGGACGACCUGCUCCGGCAGGACCAGCUCCGCGUCGACCACAUCCACAGGAGGCUGUCGGGAGACGUCGGCGACGACAAGGGCUCCCACAAGCCUCCGGCUGACGCCGAAGUAAGCCAGGUUAACCACCAGCCCUCUGGUGAUUUCGGCGUGGGCUCCCCCAACACCAACUCCAAUGUAUGUAGGAACUGAUUUGAGUACCUGAAUUGGUUUUACUAUGAAAAAUCUUCCUCCAUCUUAACCUCACUAUCACUACUGUCUCUUACAAUGUCUUGCAGCCGCAGAGCAUUGAUCUGGCGGCGACCGGCGGCGGUCGGCCGAGGCUGCCUGGAGUGAUCCAGACGCUGGUGCUCGACACGGCGAGCGACGUGCCGUGGGUGCAGUGCGUGCCGUGCCCCAUCCCGCCGUGCCACCCGCAGACCAACACCUUCUACGAUCCGACCAAAUCUCCCACCUACGCCGCCUUCAGUUGCAGCUCCUCGCCCUGCCGGCAACUCGGCCCCUACGCCAACGGCUGCGUCAGCAACCAGUGCCAGUACAAGGUCACCUACCCCGACGCUCGUCGUCGUCGGGGACGUACGUCUCCGACGUGCUCACCAUCAACCCCACAAACUCCAUCGCCAAGUUCCAGUUCGGCUGCAGCCACGUCGAGCAGGGCACCUUCAACAACCGCACCGCCGGGAUCAUGGCGCUCGGCGGCGGCCCGGAGUCGCUCGUGUCCCAGGCCGCCUCCAUCUACGGCAACGCCUUCUCCUACUGCGUCCCGCCGACGGCGAGCCACAAGGGGUUCUUCCGCCUCGGCGUGCCGCGCGUUGCCGCCACCAGGUACGUGGUGACACCCAUGCUCAGGUACAAGCAGGUGCCCACGUUCUACCGCGUCCUGCUCCGGGACAUCGCCGUCGCCGGGCAGCGGCUCAACGUCCAGCCUGUGGUGUUCGCCGCCGGGUCGGUGCUGGAUUCCCGCACCAUCAUCAGCCGACUGCCGGCGACGGCGUACCAGGCGCUGCGGGCGGCGUUCAGGAACGCCAUGAGGAUGUACCGCAUGACACCCCCCAAGGGGAUCGGAGCCUGGAUACCUGCUACGACUUCACCGGCGUCGUCGGCACCGUCCGGCUGCCGAAGAUGGCGCUGGUGUUCGACCAGAACGCCGUCGUGGAGCUUGACCCGUCGGGGAUCCUGUUCAACGACUGCCUCGCCUUCAUCCCCAACCGCGACGACAACAUGCCUGGCAUCCUUGGCAACGUGCAGCAGCAGACGAUCGAGGUGCUCUAUGAUGUCGGCGGCGGGGCGGUAGGGUUCCGCCGUAACGCGUGCUGAGCGCGACGGCGGCCGGGAGGAUCCUCUGCUCUCGACGUACGAGCCGGGGAGUUUUUAAGCUGAUCCACACGCCUUUACAAGCAGUAAAUAAAACCAUGAUUUGCAUUGGUGCGAGGCUUUUGCCUAUGUAUAUGAUUUGCCUUUAAUUUAUCGUUGUGCUAUCCGGGUGGGGUGGUCUGGUGUAUUACCAUGUAUGUUUUUAUAAUUUAAUGCAUAACUCAUAUAUUAUGUUGUUUUUUAAGUUGUCCUAUAAUAAUUGCGUAAACCUCUAAAUCUAUAUGUGGAACAAAUAUAUGAUGCGAGUGUAUUGCAAACUUGUACAAUGGUUACGAAACCUCUUCAUCUUACGAGUCUAUUAGAGAUAUACAGCUUAAUUCUGGAAACGAAUGCUCCAAACUUCAUAGGCAAUCGACUAGUGGUCGCGUACGCUUAGAAGUCAGCAUCAUUUUCGGAAAACUUCACACACCUUCUUCUUCUAAGUAAUGGUGAGUACACUUAUGGUUGGUACUCAGCAAGGUCACAAGAGGUAACCAGAAUAACGAUUUAAGUCAAUCUUCAAGUUUAUUAAUCAUGUGAGGGUCCAGGCCGCUCUUGACGGUGAGCACGGCUGAUAUAUCAGUUUUACACUCUGCAAAGGUUGUACACUUUCACCACAAGUCACGUAAAAGUUCAGAAGAACUUUGGACCCAACCAUGCUGUGCAAAAGUAGGCACUUAUCACACUACCAAGGUGUGAAUGCAUAGGGACGCUACAAGGCCUUUACAAAGAUUACCUAAUAAGAAGUAGCCCGCUAAGGUUUCCGGAUCAGUAGCAAAGCAUAAAUCUCUCUCAAGACUGCGAAGCUACCAUAGUGCAGAUCAGUCUAAGGGUCGAGUUAUACCCCAUCUGCCGCCGCCCCCUUGCCCUUUCGGUAAGACCGCUUCAAACUAGAGUCUCUAAUUAAUUAGCCAAGAGCAGAGCCAUGUAGUUCUUGUGGUUGCACUAUUUUCUUGGGUGGUCGCUCUAUGUUCCGAUUACUGCAAGGUAUUUUGUAAAUAAGCAUAGAUAGAAGGAUGGUUAUGGACACUUACCUUUCUCCAACGAAAAGUUGCUCUUACUGCUCUUCAGUUCUUGCACUCUUGAAACUCUAAAUCUUCAAAGCUUUCGAAUAACAAUCUUUCUACUCGAAGCAAUCACCGGCAUAAACAUACAAGCAAACAAACAAGUACAACUAAGAACAAUAUACCAAUCAAAGAAAGGCUUUAAAAGAAUGCACUAAAGGAUAGGGCUCGAUUCUAGGAUCACACGAACGCGAGGACCUAAGGUUGAAAAGGUAUAACUAUCGAGAGAUUUGGAUUAUAAAAUAAAAGACAAGAGCUACAUGCUUCAUUCAUUUUAAUUGAGAAAAACAAUAUAAAGAUAUUUUAGAGAAAUAUCCUUAGUUGGAAUUAAUCAAGUCAUAUUUACAUAUGAAAAUAUGAUGUAAAGCUUAGUCCAAUUUUAUUUAUGAAUAUUUAAGUACAAAUUUAAGCAAAUGAAACAUUUGAUUUUAAGAGCAGCAUGUAAAAGCAUCUAAGCGUACAACUUUAUGAUUCAGGUUGAACUAACCAAAUAUAAUUAAAAACACAUUUAUAUUCAUAUUAGUCAAAUUAACAUUUAAUUAUGAAAACCCGAGAUAUAUCUUAUGUAGCUUUUAUUUAUAAAACAAUUGAAUAAGGAUUAAUCAAAUUGAGUUCACUCAUGAACAACCGUGGUGUAGCACUUAAUUAGAUUUUAUUAAUAAAAACUAGUUCAAUAGGUAUUAAUGAAAUUAACACUUAAUUAUGAAAACGAGGUAAAGAUAUAAAUAGCUUUUGAUUAGAAAAUGAGUGCAUAAGAAAUUAAUCAUAUUAGUAUUUUAAAUAAAUUACAAAAUAGGGAACAUGAUUAACAUUGCUUCUAAUCACGUCAUUUAAGUUGAUAUGAAUCUAAUGAAACAAGACCAAGGAUUAACGGAGCUAAAAUAUGGAAUCUACGAGCUAAACAAGCUGCAGGGGUCUAAUCGUGAUUAACCCUAGACAACAGGGGCUAGCAAAGAAUAAACCUUAGACUUAGAUCUGCAAAAGGAUAGGGCUAGGAUUAGAUUGAAAGGAUCUAAAAGGUUUAGGGGUUCUCUGGGAAAGGAUCAUGACUCAAAAGAAGCCUACAGAAAUACGGAUCUCUCUGAGGACCUAACUGCAAAAGCUUAGGGCUCUAAUGGCCAUGGCGAACAGCGGCUCUGGGCUCGCCUUCGAUUCGGGCGGUGAGAGGCUUGUCCGGCAUGGGGAAAUGGAGGAGGAGGAGGUCAAGGGGAUCAUGGGGGUGUGCUCACUGGCGGCGGGAGAGACGGAGGUGGCCGGAAUUUGGUGGAGACGGCGGCCAGCUCGAUUCUCGCGGACGGGUGACGCUCCGGCGAUGAGAAGAUACAUCUGUGUUGGCGGGUGCUUAGGUCGCCCACCAGCAUAGUGGCAUCUAUGCUGGCGGAUGCUCUCCCGCUGGCCCAAGGAAGCUUUAUGCUAGUGGGUGCCAAUCACGCCCGCUAGCACACUAAAUUCCCUAUACUAGCACAAAUCAAUUCUGGCGUAGUGUCAUGUAGCCUUGAACGGGAAAUUUUUCCUUUUCUUUAUGAAUACACACAUUAUUAAAGUAUCCAUCCACUCAAAAAGCCUUGUUUUGGGUUUUGUGUUAGUUUGUUUAAACAUUGGUGAUCGUUACCAUCUUUUGACGUAAAUUGAUCUUAUGAAAGAAUAGAAUUAUCUUGAAAUUAAAGUCGAUGUCAUAGUAUAACACAAAUUCUCUACAUUUUGCAUAGAUUUAUAUACGCUAGUAAUGAGUAAUCAAGAUAAUGUAUUGGCAACCAUGCAUGUUGUCAAUAUCUAAUAAAAUGAAACUAUUUUGUGACUGUGCCGGAGGGAGUAUGGUUCUUCAAUGCUCCUGCCACUCAUUAGUUGUAUUAAAUGAUCCGGAUAUGAAGUCGUUGACGCAUGGCUGCCAGCAUUUGAGUAAAUUUUGCGAUAGGCAUCUGGGUUUCUUUUGCUAAAACAGUUUCUAAAAGUGGCUGCCCACCUCCAACAAUAAUCCCAUCCCAAGUCUGCUAGUUCUUUUAAAAACGUUGAAAGGGCCCGUGCCUAGCUCUUAUAAAAUUAUUGACGAUAAGAAUAGAAUAAAAAUGAUUGUGCUAACCCAGAGCUGACACGGACUAGUCUUUUGCUUUCCGGAUAGAUGGAGAUCAUUAGUGCUCUCUUUUUCCUAUGGCCAAAUAUAAUGAUACUCUCUUCUUUACUUGUCGGACAUUAUAUUGGCAUCAUAACGAUCACACCAUGCAUGGAAGUCAUCUCCCGUGCCCAUCAUGCAUAUGCAUCGACGAGCAAUAUUGAACAAACUCGCCACUGCCAGUGACCGCCCUCUCCCUUGCCACACGCUGCGUGCAUGUGUUCUUACCAGCCAGGUUUUGCAGAGGAGGUCAGGGACGUAUGGAUCCAAUGCCAUGAGGCAGCCCCGGCACGCGAUCACCGGCUAAACCUUAAGGGUGUGUUUGGUUGGUUGUAUCAUUUGAUUCAUGUAUGAAAUGAUUCAAAAUAAUAAUGAUCCUUUUGUUUGGUUGGGUGAAUUGGACCAACUCAUCCAGGAUGAGGCCAUCCCACUUAGUACAUUAUUCUACUAAUUAGAGUGAACCAUAUGGUACAAGUAAAUUAAUUGAACCAUCCCAUCCAGGAUCAUCCAUGUAUGCAUCAUGUGGUGCAUGCAACCAAACACACCCUAAGAUACCCCGUAGGGCUUGCUAAAUUUUUAGGGUGUCAAUAAGGCUAUAUAUGUUAAAUCUCUAAAAUUUAGAGUUUGCAAGCACAAGUAAGAAAUCUAUCAAUGUCAAGAUAUAACAUUGUAAGAAAACGAAUUAGAGUUUACAAUUUUAAAAAAAUCUAACCUAUAUGGCCUUCCCUUUCUCCAAUGACGUUGUCUUGUCUCUCACUUUGAAGCAUCAUACUCCGGAGAUUACUAAGUUCUGGAUUUUUUUUUCCUCUGAGCAGUUUACGCCCAUAAGAACAUCACUUCAUCAAUUUAUGAAGGAAACACCGAAUGCAUGGUUGCCUUUUGAGAUCACGAUAUCUGUAAUAAUUGUGAUUAGGAGCUCUGCAGCAUGGAGGAGUCCUUAGAAGGUUCCUUUCUCCGCUUUUCCAAUGUUUAUAAUUGGUGGUACAUCAUCUUUGCAUUUUGAAGGGCUAUAAAAGAUCUAUAUUUAUCGUUCUAGACAUUACAGCUAAGUCAUUGCAGCCAUAAAGACCUUCAAAACAGUAAAGAGUUUUCUUUGAGCCAAAUUCAAUUAAGAAUCAGUACGCGUGUUUCAUGCAUGACUAUAAAACACUUUAGAAAGAGUACCUUCGUUCCUUUGGUAUAGUUGCUUUGGAACUUCUUUUCUUUGUCAAUGCACACACUAUCAAUGCAAAUUAUUUGAUGCUCUAAUGCUAAUCUUUUGGCCAUGAAACAAAGAAUUAGAAAUGAGCCACAUAUUAGGCAAAUAAGGAAGCGAUAUAAAUUCCGAUGGGAAAUAAGGAACUUUCCCUCGUAAGCAUGCAUCACACGGCAGGUAUGACCGUAUGACACGCUCAUCAUCAGCCAGCGAAAGCUAAUACGAUUUGUUACUGCGGUUCACUUGUCACAGUAAAACUUCAACUUGAGUUAUGCCCUUCCGUGGGUAAUUAAAAUAAGCUCAUUCAUGAAAUUAUCAAGAAAAAUAAACGUCCUCUGAUUUGAGUGCGACCUUUCAUGCAUGGCAUGUGCUUUGAUUUUUAGCUUCUAGCAGCGCGCUUACAGUGGGAUGAAAACAAAAUCAAGAAGACCUUUGUCGUCUCUACUUGUUAUUAAUGCUGGACUGAAAACACAUGCAUGGAAAGGAAAAAAACUGCAUAUUUUGUAUUGGUAGGAAUGAAGUGCAAAACAUAAUAAAACUAUAAACUUACGAAAAUUUGGAUAGAAAUGCAGGCAAAAUUUGUGAAUCGGAAGAGACAAAAGGACAUAAGAAAAUAUUUUUGUGCAUGUGAAAACUCUUUAAAAACUCUUGUGGAAUGAGCUAUUCCUAGAAGAACCAUAUAUAAUUGGAAGCAUAAAGAGUAAGGCACCUGCCCAUGCUUCAAUUAUGCAUGCAUAUUGGCACCUGGAGCAUUAUUCUUUGAUUUAACUAUUAGGUACGUGUUUGUGCCUAUAAAUUUUGCCCAGAGACCAUGGAAACUUCAAGGCAUGGUCGAGCAGUCCAAACAAGCAAGCAGAGCCAUGGUUUGGGUUUUGGCGCCACUGCUGCUCCUCCUCGUGUCAGCUGGUUCUUCUCCAGGUGCCCAUGCAGCAGAUCAUGAUGGAGACGACUACAUGAUGGUGGCAAUGAACUCGCUGAGACCGGAAGCCACCUGCUUGGGGCACAGGGGUAAGUAUAUACCUCUCCUUGUUCAACUGCUGAUUUUUUAGAAUGCAAUUAACCUGUUGAUCACCCAUAUCACCGUGUGAAAUGAAACGAAAAUUAAGCUAUAGCAGAACUGAAAAAUUAAUAUUUUUGGUGACAGAGAUUCCACCGCAGAACGGCACCUGGGUACCAUUGCAUCACCCGCUUGGGCCGUGCUCGCCGUCGCCAUCAGGUAAGCCGCCGUCCUUGGACGACCUGCUCCGGCAGGACCAGCUCCGCGUCGACCACAUCCACAGGAGGCUGUCGGGAGACGUCGGCGACGACAAGACGGGCUCCAACAAGGAAUCGGCUGACGCCGACGUAAGCCAGGAGUACCACCAGCCCUCUACUCAGUUCAACGUGGGC
rnacentral:lncRNA from 1 species